GUUCUCCUACGGGAGGCAGCAGUGGGGAAUAUUGCACAAUGGGGGGAACCCUGAUGCAGCGACGCCGCGUGAAGGAAGAAGUAUCUCGGUAUGUAAAGCUCUAUCAGCAGGGAAGAUAAUGACGGUACCUGACUAAGAAGCCCCGGCUAACUACGUGCCAGCAGCCGCGGUAAUACGUAGGGGGCAAGCGUUAUCCGGAUUUACUGGGUGUAAAGGGUGCGUAGGUGGCAGGGCAAGUCAGAUGUGAAAGCCCGGGGCCCAACCCCGGUACUGCAUUUGACACUGUCCUGCUGGAGUGCAGGAGG
rnacentral:rRNA from 1 species